ensembl:lncRNA
AAAAAACUGCUAGAACAGUGUUAUAUAUUUUGCUGACUUGUGUACUUACAUUAUCCCAAAUGUUUCGAAGAAUGUUUAAAUUCAGAGAAAUAAGCAAUUUUUACUAGUGACAUGGACGGUGUCCAUAGUGUCAUUGUGUCACCUGCCAAUGAUGUCAUAAUCACUCGAUUUCCAGUUUUGUUUUGUAGAAAACAUGGAAACAACAAAGACGCUUUAAUAUGUUAUGCGUUUUAUUGGACAGGUGAUGACCGGACAGAGUAGCAUUAUAACAGAACUUUCAAAUGUAUCUAGUAUGAUAAAGCAGCGCUGCUUUACCCCACAUACUCACGACCGGAAGGAGCGGAAGCGGCCAACUGUGGCAUAAUAAAACUUCUGCUGCUUUCAUGCCGUGUGUCAUGCUCGUUCAACAGCCUCCUUUCGCUUCGACAGCUUUCAGCCUCACCCUGCUUCAUACUACGACAUUAAUAAAUCAUUAGCUUAUCCAUGAACAUGAUUUCUGCCUGAGUCCUGUCGGAUUGCAUCGGCUGUGGAAAUGAAGCCGACAACUCCCAUGAUUCCACACUCAGUCACGGUGUCAUCAAACUACGCCUUUGUUUGUUUUGAAUAUGCGCCCUCUUUAGGGGCGAGAAUUUACAUAUUGUGCCUUUAUAAAUGUGCACUGUUGGGUGCAUAUCCAAUCGUUUGUGCGCAGAGUGGAAGCUGAAUCGCGCUUUGCAUUUUUUUUUUUUAACAGUGGAAGCUUAAAAAAUAUGCUGUCAUUUGUGCUCAUAAAGGUAAGAGUAUAAGUCUAUUUUUAUUUGUGUUUGCACUCACAAUGUCAACAAAACCUUGUGCUUUUGUAAAAUAAGGAAAACAAACACUUUCUGAUGCGCUUUCUGUCAUCUCUGUCUUGAGCAGGAGUGCUUCACAAUAAUCAACUGAAACUCAGCGAAUACUUGCCUUACCAACAUGAUAAAUAUAUCUAUAUAAUGCUUUAAAUUAUUAUUUUAAAACAAAAUAAUUCAAAUCGAAAACAAAAACUCUUUCAUUAUGUGAUCCAUAUAGAUGCAUUUCUCUCUAAAGGCAUGUCCAAUGUAGAGAUGGCGAGUCAGGUUCAUCAAAUUCAUCUUUGCGACACUAACUCAGAAAACACCAGUUAAUUAACAAACAAUUAAAAUAUCCCCUCACUAUUUUGUACUUCUUUGUUUGUUUUUUAUUUAUUUUGUUUGUUUGUUUUUUGGGCUGCUGUGCCAAAAUUGUAAUUGCAUUCAGUAGCUACAAUUAGCCUACAGCAGCAUUAUAGUGCCACGUUGAAAAAUAACUAAAUAAAUAAGAUUAACGUCAUAUUAUUUUAAGAAUAAAGUCAAAAAUACGAUAAUAAAAUCAUUAUAUUGCGUGAAGUUAAUGUGAAAAUGUAGACUUAUUGAUGUUUUUUUAAAACUCUGAUUGAUCGACUUCAUGAGACAUUCGUUUGUAUUAAGUUGUUCUGAUUUUUUUCAUGCAUCCAUUCAAAUAUUCAUUAUUUGGUGCUGCAAAUAUUAAAGAGGAAAAUAUUGUGGAUUCAUAUGCCGCUUGAACUGAGGCGAUUUAUCUCACUACAAAUUAAAGAGCGUAAAAACACAUUUAUUGUUUGUAUUUUAUCAUAAAAUUGACAGAAGGCUGAGACUUUGUAGUAACAAAGCACAAAGCUGCGAUUAUUGGGUGGCCCAUACAAAUUUCUUUGAAUAUGGGCCUGGGGCUGACUUGCUACGCCACUGGUUGGAAUGGAAGGUGAACUACACUGUAAUUGAUUGACUCAUGUCCAGCACAGUAAAACCCUUAGUCUGCUUUCUGCUUUUGGAUAGUUUGGAAAACGUAAAAGCAGAUUUACCUGUGCCAGUGCUUUCUCACAUCACAGAGAGGUUCAGAAAGAUGUCACUUAACUUAAGCUGGAUGGGGGUAUUUAUUGUUUUUGUUUACAUUUUGUUUUCUUCACUUAUUAUCUUCUGAAAAGAGGUUCUCAUUUGAAUUUAAUGGGGUGCAGAUACACCCCGUGUAUGGAACCAUAUCAUCAGUGUACCUGUACUACCGGUAGUCAUUGUGAUUGACACAACGCUACAUCAGCCUUGGGUGAAUGUCUGUGUGUAAAUGAGUUAUGCUUUUGAGGGUGCAACCAUUCCCUGUGUAUAUGUUUUAGCUCAGUGGAGCCAGCCUGAUUGAUUCAGAGCUAGCUUUACCAUUCACACUGUAUAGAAAUCUAGCAUGUCGGUCCAAAUCAGUAAAAUCAAUAAAAGUGUCUUAUUACCAAAAAAUGAAUACUGACCAUUCUCAUUUUUCUUAUUCUUUUCUCAUGCAUAACUGGUCACAGUUUAGAAUAAGAAUAUUUUGUAAAAUAUAUUUUAGUUUCUUAUGAUCAGCA